rnacentral:rRNA from 1 species
CACUGACCCUCAUGCACGAAAGCGUGGGGAGCAAACAGGAUUAGAUACCCUGGUAGUCCACGCCCUAAACGAUGCCGACUAGUUGUUGGGAAUUUACAUUCUCAGUAACGUAGCUAACGCGUGAAGUCGGCCGCCUGGGGAGUACGGUCGCAAGAUUAAAACUCAAAGGAAUUGACGGGGACCCGCACAAGCGGUGGAUGAUGUGGAUUAAUUCGAUGCAACGCGAAAAACCUUACCUACCCUUGACAUGUCACUAACGAAGUA